GAUGAAUUUGGUUCUUGUUCUUAUAAUUAGGUAAGCUGAGACUUACACAUGUUAACUUUUGAGUAUCACGGUGAGGACCCGCUUGGGGCGGGGGCACAAAUAAAAUUGGUCUCUCCUGAUUGACGGCCGGAUUAAUUGGAAAUAACUGAGAGAAUACUCGUUGAAUUGCGUCACAUCUGCAGUGAUGAAUUUCUUAACACUAACUGGGAGGUUGAUUAGAUCAAGUGUUAAUAAAAGCUGGCUAAGUAUCGUGCCAGCAGCCGCGGUUAUACGAACUGGCUUUUCUAAUAUAUUAAGUGGUAUUACGGCAAUACAAAUUUAAGUAUUAAAAAAGCUUAAAGCACAAGAGUAAAAUCUUAUUUUAAGCAGAAGGAGUAAUAUUGUAGAGACUGUGAAAGUUGGGAUAAAGACUCGGAUUAGAUACCCGAUUAUUCCUAAAUAUAAAAAGUAGUUACCGGUGGAGUACGGAGAUAACUCUGAGAAACAAAGAACUUGGCGGUUAUUUAUUUCUGACUAGGGGAACCUGCUUGAAGAAAAUGGUAGCCCACAUAAUACCUGACCUUUCUUGGCUAGGCCAGCCUCUAUAUCAUCGUCUUAAGUUCUCAUUGUGAAUUCGAAGGCUAAAAAACUAGAUGUUAGAAGUCAGAUCGAGAUGGAGCUAAUAGAAAGGGGAGAGUGGGUUACAGUGGCAUAAAGCCUCAGUUUGGAAUUUUUCUUGAAACAGAAAGAAUAAAAAUGGACUUAGUAGUAAUAAAGGAGGAGGAAGACUUUAUGAAGAUAGCUCUAAAUUUCGUACACAUCGCCCGUCACCUGCGGGGUUAAACCUGGAGAAAGUCGUAACAAAGUAGGCGUACCGGAAGGUGCCGCCUG
rnacentral:rRNA from 1 species